rnacentral:tRNA from 1 species
GGGGGUUUAGCUCAGUUGGAACGAGCGACUGGUUUGCAACCAGUAGGUCAAGGGUUCGAGCCCCUUAACCUCCACAA